rnacentral:rRNA from 2 species
AUUCCCCUAGUAACUGCGAGUGAAGCGGGAAAAGCUCAAAUUUAAAAUCUGGUGGUCUUUGGCCAUCCGAGUUGUAAUUUAGAGAAGCGUCUUCCGCGCUGGACCAUGCAUAUAAGUCUCCUGGAAUGGAGCGUCAUAGAGGGUGAGAAUCCCGUCUUUGGCAUGGACCCCCAGGGCUUCUGUGAUGCGCUCUCGAAGAGUCGAGUUGUUUGGGAAUGCAGCUCAAAAUGGGUGGUGAACUCCAUCUAAAGCUAAAUAUUGGCGAGAGACCGAUAGCGAACAAGUACCGUGAGGGAAAGAUGAAAAGCACUUUGGAAAGAGAGUGAAACAGUACGUGAAAUUGUUGAAAGGGAAACGCUUGAAGUCAGUCGCGUCUACCGAGACUCAGCCUUGCCUCGGCUUGGUGUACUUCUCGGCUGACGGGUCAGCAUCAAUUUUGAUCCUCGGAUAAUGGCAAGGGAAAGGUAGCACCUUUACAGGUGUGUUAUAGUCCUCUGUCGCAUGCGAGGGUUAGGAUUGAGGAACUCAGCAUGCACCUUUUGGUGUCGGGGUCUUGACCCACGUUACAUGCUUAGGAUGCUGGCAUAAUGGCUUUAAACGACCCGUCUUGAAACACGGACCAAGGAGUCUAACAUGCACGCGAGUGUUCGGGUGGAAAACCCGUGCGCGUAAUGAAAGUAAAAGUUGGGACCUCUGUCGUGGAGGGCACCGACGCCCGGACCAGACCUUCUGUGACGGCUCUGCGGUAGAGCGUGUAUGUUGGGACCCGAAAGAUGGUGAACUAUGCCUGAAUAGGGUGAAGCCAGAGGAAACUCUGGUGGAGGCUCGUAGCGAUUCUGACGUGCAAAUCGAUCGUCAAAUUUGGGUAUAGGGGCGAAAGAC